UAAACGGAAAUAUACAGAAAAAAAUAAUAAUUAAUUAUUCCGGAAAUGACGCAUUCUUCAAAGACCCGUAUGAACGUGACGUGUCAGAAUCCCGGAAUUUAGAGCUGCGUUCGUUUGAGCUCAUUCAGCACAAACAUUAUAAACACAUAAAUCGUGAUGGUGACAGACGUGCAGCUGGCGAUAUUUGCCAACAUGUUGGGGGUAUCGCUCUUUCUUCUGGUGGUUUUAUAUCAUUAUGUUGCUGUCAACAACCCAAAGAAACUCGAGUGAUGCUAUGUGUGGAGUGAACAGAGGUUGUGUACAGGGACCAGACAAACAUCAAACACCGAGAAUGGGGAAGAUCCAUUCUGUAAAUUUACAUUUUGUAUGCAAAUUCUGCUAAUAAACAUGUCAUUGUGAUGUA